rnacentral:rRNA from 1 species
UACAGAGGUCUCAAGCGUUGUUCGGAAUCACUGGGCGUAAAGGGUGGCGUAGGCUGCGGAGAAAGUCUGGUGUGAAAUUUGCGAGCUCAACUCGCAACUAGCACUUGAUACUACUUCGCUAGAGAUCUGGAGAGGAGCUUGGAAUUCUCGGUGUAGCAGUGAAAUGCGUAGAUUUCGAGAAGAACGCUCGCAGCGAAAGCGAAGCUCUGGCCAGAUUCUGACGCUGAGGCACGAAGGCUAGGGGAGCAAACGGG